rnacentral:rRNA from 1 species
AUGCACGCUGGCGGCGUGCCUAAUCCCUGCCAGUCGAGCGAACGGACGAGAAGCUUGCUUCUCUGAUGUUAGCGGCGGACGGGUGAGUAACACGUGGAUAACCUACCUAUAAGACUGGGAUAACUUCGGGAAACCGGAGCUAAUACCGGAUGAUAUUUUGAACCGCAUGGUUCAAAAGUGAAAGACGGUCUUGCUGUCACUUAUAGAUGGAUCCGCGCUGCAUUAGCUAGUUGGUAAGGUAACGGCUUACCAAGGCAACGAUGCAUAGCCGACCUGAGAGGGUGAUCGGCCACACUGGAACUGAGACACGGUCCAGACUCCUACGGGAGGCAGCAGUAGGGAAUCUUCCGCAAUGGGCGAAAGCCUGACGGAGCAACGCCGCGUGAGUGAUGAAGGUCUUCGGAUCGUAAAACUCUGUUAUUAGGGAAGAACAUAUGUGUAAGUAACUGUGCACAUCUUGACGGUACCUAAUCAGAAAGCCACGGCUAACUACGUG